UACGAGGGGGGCGAGCGUUGUUCGGAAUUAUUGGGCGUAAAGGGUGCGUAGGCGGUUCCGCAAGUCCUGUGUGAAAUCUUCGGGCUCAACUCGAAGUCUGCACGGGAAACUGCGGGGCUUGAGUGUGGGAGAGGUGAGUGGAAUUCCCGGUGUAGCGGUGAAAUGCGUAGAUAUCAGGAGGAACACCGAUGGCGAAGGCAGGUCUCUGGGCCACUACUGACGCUGAGAAGCGAAAGCAUGGGGAGCGAACAGG
rnacentral:rRNA from 1 species